rnacentral:rRNA from 1 species
UACGUAGGGGGCAAGCGUUGUCCGGAAUCAUUGGGCGUAAAGAGCGUGUAGGCGGCCAGGUAGGUCGGUUGUGAAAACUGGAGGCUCAACCUUCAGACGUCGACCGAAACCAUCUGGCUAGAGUCCGGGAGAGGAGAGUGGAAUUCCUGGUGUAGCGGUGAAAUGCGCAGAUAUCAGGAAGAACACCCGUGGCGAAAGCGGCUCUCUGGAACGGUACUGACGCUGAGACGCGAAAGCGUGGGGAGCGAACAGG